rnacentral:tRNA from 2 species
GUGACUAUAGCUUAGAUGGAAGAGCCCCGGAUUGUGGUUCCGGAAGUCGUGGGUUCGAAUCCCACUAGUCACC